ACGUCCUCCCCCCCCCACCAUUCAUCGUCCCCCGAACAACAACGGUCUGCCGCUGCGGACCCUCCUGAGGACCGAACUGCGGUUCAGGUGCGCCGCUGUGAUUUAAAUAACAACUCAAGUUUAUUUUAGCGCUGCGCGAAGAGAAGGAGAGAUUAGCACACCGCUGAAGGACAGUGUCCUGAUUUGUCGACAAGUGUUUAUCCGCGGAACGGAGCUCGCCAUUGUUUUAUCUGUGACGGGAUUCCUUCAGGAACAACCUGCCGCCUGACGUUAACUCCCCUGCUGGAGGUAAACUUCUGGAACCUUUUUAUCUUCAAAAGGUCAAGAUGGAACCUAACGUGGUGACUUUUUUCAGAGUUGUGGUGCCUGCUUCAAGAACUUAAUAACUUUUUGGGCCUAAACUUUGGAUAUUCAUCAGAUUAUCUACGCAGCUGUUAACCCGUGAGAUCUCCACGAAAAAUAAUGGAGACGGAGGAGAAAGAGGAUGUAUCACAAAGACAAACUGCUAUUAUAAAAGAGGCAGAGGAAGAUGCAGCGUCGUGCCACACAUGUGGUGUGUGUGGUCGUAGUUUUCCUCUGCUCAGCUCUCUCUCUCAGCACAUGAGAAGGCACACGCGGGAAAAGCCGUACAAGUGUCCCUACUGUGAGCACCGGACAGCUCAGAAAGGUAGCCUUAAGGCUCAUAUCCGAAGCCAUAAACUGGGUCUACUCAGCAAGAACCCUGGAGAAAAUAAGGUGGAGGGAAACCAGGGACAAAAAGAUGAGCCUGACAUGCUUGACCUCCCUGAAAUCAUCAACAUACCUGACAAAGCUCAUUACAUCAAUGGGAAGGUGAAGAAGAAAGUAACUAAGAAAAAAGUUAAAAGUAAAAAUAGUGUCGAGGUUGGGGAUGGGCCUUUCUCCUGCAUAAUUUGCGGCCAGGUUUUCCCUCAGGUAUUGCUCCUUAAAUCUCACUUGAAACGGCACCACAGCUCCCAAGAUCACGGGUGUCGCAUUUGUGGACGUCGUUUCCGCCAAGCAUGGUUCCUCCAAAGCCACAUGCGCAUCCAUCGGGUCAAAGCACAACUCCAAGGGGUAAAAAGCAAUGAGCCGCCUACCAUGAUUAACGGGACACCUCAGGACCCAACGUCACUGAUAAACGAAGAGUGCCUCUACGAGCUCUGCGCCGGCUGCGGUAACUUCUUUUAUGACCGUACAACCUUGCAGAUUCAUGAAAAGCUGCACAAAAUGAACCCAAAUCCUAAAAAUGAAAACAUGAAACCCUCUGAGUUGCAAGUUGAUAAGAAGCAUUUUUUAGAAAUUCUGAACCUCAAAAGUACUGACCCUAAGGGAACACCUAAAGAAAACAUUCAGGGUAAGAGAAUUCCAGAACUAGACCCAGUUUGUAGUUACCAAGCAUGGCAGUUAGCCACAAGGGGACGACUAGUGGAGUCCUCAGAAAAAUGUCUGGGCUGGGAGGAGAGGCUGGCUGAUGCAGAGGUGGCAUAUGACAUGGAGAAAGGAGAAUAUGUGCCCCUGAAGCAGGAAAAGAAGAGGAAACAAACUGACAGCUCCAACUCUAGUGUCAAGAAGAAGAAGGGUGACACAAGCCACGAUCACACACCCAGCUCCCUAAGUCACGCUAAAGGUGGAGACAAAAAGAUUUUCCAGAAGGACCGCAUCAUUUUGAAUGGACUUGGUCACGCGUUUUAUGAGGCACUGCAGACAAAGAAGGCAAGAGAACUCUCAUCUAAGCCGAGUAAGAACAUCAGGAGCCAAGAGCAGGAAGAUAAAGAGUCCUACUCUUGUGAGUACUGUGAUUUCUACACUGUUGACUCCUCGCUGCUCAGAUCCCACCUGCACAGCCUUCAUCCCGGUCCCUACUGCAAACAGAGCACCAAGGUGGGCAACAUCAGCAAAAGUGGUUCUUCGAGAUACAUGGACUACCUCAGGAGCAGGAGUGUGUUGCUCAGUCAGCCAUACUGGAAUCACUACACAUAUCCUCCAGGUCAGGAGUUUGCAGAGGGAUACAAUAAGAUGGAAAAAUCAAACGGGAGCGAGGUGAAAGAGGAGGUACAUUCUGGUGGUGAAACUGGCAGUCUUCUCAAUCUUUCUUCACCCUCCGCUACUGUUGAAAAUGCUAAUUAUCCAGUCAAAACAGACAGUCCGGUGCAACAUCAGUGUCUAUACUGCUCCCACACUAGCAAUUACCCAGAAGUCCUGUGGAUUCAUCAGCGAGUCACACACAGGGUGGAUGGCAGCAGCUCUGUAGCACCAAAGUGGGCACCCUGCAUAAGCAUUUUAAAGAGCUUAAAAGCAGGGGCUUCUCAGUGGAGACGCACAGGACCACCACCGUUCCUGGAAGGCAAGGACUGCCCAACUUUACCCAUCCCACGAACACAGCGCACACAGCCUCCAGGUUUCACCACCCAAAGCAGCAGUAAGCUCUCACUCCCAAAGACCCAGUCAAGCAUCCCAAGACCCAAGCAUCAGCCAAAGGACUCAAAAUCCUCAGAUGCAACACAUUCUCGUGGGAAAGUGGUGUUCAAGCCUCAAAGGAAGUCUGCUGAACAUAAACGAGUAGUAGAUGUUGCAGGUAAAGCCUCCAGUUCCCAGCCUACUUCAAUAAACAGUUCUUUGCACUCCAAGAGUCUCCUGAGCUUACAGCCUUCAAGCAGUCCCAAACACAGAAGAAACAGAGCUACUGUAGAGGGAGUCUUUCCACAGGAGGGUUUGGGUUUUAUGUUAGCAAGAAAUCAAAGUGGGACUUCUUCUAACGCAGUAGCUGAUAGACCCCACUCCCGAAGGUACUCAUGGGAUUUUUCCUCUGGUCUUAAGGGUCCUGAUCUUUGGGCAUCCAUAAAUAUGUGGGGGCUACAUGGUGGGAAAGCAUAUUUAGAUCCACACGUUUUUGCUCAGGAAAAAAGUGACUCAACAGGAGACACCUCAAAGGAGACGGACCUUUUAAGUCUCUUGAAGAGCUACAGUCCCCAUGAGUUGGCAGCUUUUUAUCAGCACUGGGGAUAUGUUGAUCCAACACUGGAUCCACAAGAUCUAACAAACUCCCAGUCGGUCACAACAGAUGGCUGCUCACACUGAGCCAGGUUCUGCAGGAGGUUUCUUCUUGUUAAAGAGGGGUUCUCCUCACCACUGUCGCUACAGCGUCUUUAGUUUGAGGGAUUGCUGCAAAGUUAACAGCUAAAUGUCCACAUUUAGUAGUAGCUGAAAGUCAGUGACUCGAUGGAAUUGGUUGGGUUUCUUUAGAUGGAAAGCAUUUUACCAGUUUAAUAAUUAGCUGAACUAGACCGCAUUGUUUAAUAACUACAAUCAAACUGGAAUUCACGUAACUAAUGUUAUUGUUAUGAUUGGAUUCUGUAUAAAAAUAGUUUUUUCUGUAUAGUGCCUUGACACGGCAUUUGUUGUGAAAUGGCACUAUAUAGUAAACUUAAUUUAACAAAAUGUAUUUGUAAAAAAUUUUGAAACCCAUCACUUUUUUCCCUUCCACUUCCCAAUGUUGCACUUCUUUGUGUGGUUCUAUCUCACAAAACCCCAAUAAAACAGGGCGAGGCUUGUGACUGUAAGACGACAAAAUGUGUUUUACAAGCAACACUGCAGUUAAACGGAAGCUUUGGAAAUGAAGUUCAUUCUUCCUCUGAAUCCUCCAAACAGAAGAGCAGCCGCUCCACCCCAUCUUCAGGAUCUCUGCAUAAAGGAACGUGAGGUGUCGCUGUUGGUCCCAGCUGCCACAAUCCUACCUGCUGGAAUGAAGCAGCCAUUACUCCAAAAUGAAAUAAUAAAACACAGAGGCUAAAGUGAAAAAUGCACAUUAUAUUUGAAACAAUGAGGUCAACUCUUUAUUUUAUGUUAUGGUUAUUUAAUUUGAUUUGAUUUUUCUUUGCUUAUUGAACGUUGACAUGGUGACAGCUGAUGCAGCAGACACGGUAAGGUGUUUGGAAACUGGAAAUAAUACUGUAGUCCAGAUGGAAAUAAAAUAUGUUGCUUCAGUCUCCUAGCUACAAAGGAUAUGUUUUUAGUUGUAGGAAAACUGUAAAAUGGAUCCAUCAAAACAACAGAAAAAGCUUAAUACCAUAAAAGAAUUCAGAAACUUAAAUAUGACAUUCAUCAAUGUCAUGUUUAAGUUGUUUCAUCUCUUGUAAAUGUUUUGCUUUUUAACUUUAUUCUUGUUGUUUUUGGUAAGGUUGUUAUUGUUAAGACAUUCAGAAUUACAGAUAAACUAACAUCACUUCAGUUUUGAGCCCAAAUUGAACGGAUAAUCUCCAACAUCAGAGCAGGGAUGUACAACUCAAGGUGCCAGUUUAUGUUUCAAUCACUUAUAUUAAGAAUAGUCAUAGCGCUGUUAGUUUCCGUGGGUAAAAUACUGUUCACAUUAAAACUUUAGUUUAUUUUUAGUCACAGUUGAGGUAGAUAAGGUGCACUUUUUGGUCAUUAAUAAGAAAAAGAAUACUGUAAAUCAGUGUGUUGAACUAUUUUUGUCUAAUUAGUUUACAGCCUCAGAAAGUUGCACUGAAGGACCGGGGGCAGAACGAUCAAACGUCUCUAAGCAGUUUUAGACCCUGGCUGUUUAGUUCAUACCCAUACAUUGUUUCCCAUCAUGCAGCUAGUCUGUAGCGUCCAAAAAGGUGACCUGCUUUAUUAAUUCAGAUUUAAAAUACAAAUGCAGUAUAUGCCUCUGUUUCAGUUAGAUUUAUUCUGUGAACAUCUAGUCGUCUUUCACACUUUGCGAUGUAGCAACUGAAAGCUGUGAUUUGUUUUUUCUUUUUUUCUUUAGAAGUUAAAAAUGGUAGCGAUAACAGUUUGUACUGAUGUAGCCCCUACAAACCCAUGCUAGUCAAGUUACUGAAAAAAAAAUGUAUGUUUUGAUUUAUAAUUAUUCACUUUAAUAUCCUUUUGUUUUCAUGUGUACUUUGUUGCAGGUCUCUUUUAGUAUGUUUACAUUUUAGUACAUCAUCCUCUCCCAUAGAUAAAAUGCCUAUGCACGUGACAUGAAGCCAUAAGCGUAUGAUUGUUGGGAGAUCCAAAGAGCAUACAACUAUUAAAUCGAGUGUUAACAAUAAAUGUCUUUCCUUGUUGACAAAUAAUGUUCAUGUAAUUUUAUUUCAGGGGCUUGUUUUCUAAAAAUGAAAUUUAAGAACCCAGAGAUACUUGAUAUUUGUAGAGAGGAAAAUAGCGGCAUGCUGCUCUCUGAAACAACAGAAAAUGGUCCAAACGUUUUGUAAACAUCAAUUUUUAAAUUGAGUUCCCAGUGGUUUCAUUUUUUUGACUGUAAACAAGUUUCGUAGUUAACAAUUAUGUUGGUAUCAGAAGUUGUUUUUUCAACAGCUCCAGUGUGUUUGUAAAAUUAUUUGAAUAAAAUUGAUACAUGUUGAUUUAUAUUAAAAGUGUUUUUGCUACAUUG